CAGUGGACUUUGCCUUAGGUUGCUGAAAUUGAUAUGUCAUCUAUAUAAUAAUAUCCUGUUGCGACGAGGUUUUUGUGGAGACUUCUCUUCGGCAGAUUAAAAAUAAGUACUUGUUUGUAAUGCUCCAGCCACCCACGAUCAAAACUGUGAUGGACGAUUCUCAUAAGUGGGACCAGUAAUAACCGUUGAUGACGUCUGGUGUUAGUUAUCCGUGCGUGGGAAGACUGAAAAGUUAGUGCCAAACCGCAAAUAUGUACAGAAACAUGUUUGUCUGAAACUAUGGUGACGAAACCAGGAAAGAUAUUCUUAUGGCGCCAGACCGUUGGGCUACAGACACUAACAGGUCAUGCUGACCCUGGAGGAAUGUAUAACAAAGGAAGCCGCACCAGUUGAGAGCACGCUUGAAAUCAGAGAGGCAUCCUUGAAUGAAGGUCACAAGUGUUAUUGUCCCUACAUAUCAAAUCCAAAACAUAAUCAUUUAACCACUAAACCAUAGGUAGUUAGUUAUGUCUAUAGCUAUCAAAUGACAGCCAGUGUUUAGACCACUUAGAUGUUUCCCAUAAUACUUUAUUAUUCUUAUUAAAAGCAAACAAUCUAUCUCAAUGAUUUGAAUAUUGUAUCAAUUUAUAACAUUCCAGUUGAUAAAAUUUUUAUUUAGACGUUUGAAAA